rnacentral:rRNA from 1 species
UAACGCGUGGGAAUCUGCCCUUGGGUGCGGGAUAACCCGGCGAAAGCCGGGCUAAUACCGUAUACGUCCUUCGGGAGAAAGAUUUAUCGCCCGAGGAGGGGCCCGCGUCGGAUUAGCUAGUUGGUGAGGUAACGGCUCACCAAGGCGAUGAUCCGUAGCUGGUCUGAGAGGAUGAUCAGCCACACUGGGACUGAGACACGGCCCAGACUCCUACGGGAGGCAGCAGUGGGGAAUAUUGGACAAUGGGCGCAAGCCUGAUCCAGCAAUGCCGCGUGAGUGAUGAAGGCCUUAGGGUUGU